AUGUUUACUGAAUCUAAAGUGAUGAGUGCAAUCUUCUAUUUCAUUGGCAGGUCUGGUGACCAGCUUUGAUGCCAUUGGUUACUCUGGAGGUACAUUUAUUAUAGUUAUCAGCAGCCAACAGUGGAACUCAAACAGUAAGAUGUCUAUCUGCAAGAAUAAGCCAGGAGAAAAUGACUGCAAAUAUGUAUCGUAUUCUAAUAUGCAAGAUGAUGCUGGAUAUCCUGGAAAGUUCUCAUUUUAUGAAGAUUCACAAGGGAACCUAAAAGGAUACACAAUACUGAUCAAAGACCUGGACCCUCAGGAUGAAGGGGAAUACACAUUUAGAGUAGAAACUGAGUAUUGGGAAAUAAACCUAGUUCUGAAAAGUGAGAAAUGUUAGCUUAAGCAAAGAGUAUGCAUUUCAUACUGUUUUUUACAGUGAUUAAUUUCUAAUUUCUUCUUAUUUUAAACAGAUCCUUGUUGUGUGAAGUCAGAAAGAGUGACUGGGCAUCUGAAUGGGAAUGUUGUCAUUCGUUGUGACUAUCCAGAGGAGCAUAAAGAAAAAUGGAAAUACUUAUACAAGCUGAAAGAUCACAGAGUUGAAACAGUCAUUUACAGCAAUUCCAAGUAUAAAAAAUACGAGAAGGACAGAUUUUACAUUGUAGAUGAUACCUUUUCAAAUAUGUUCACUAUACGUAUCAGUAAUGUGAAUAGUGAAGAUGGAGGAGUUUAUUACUGUGGUGUACGGACUGGUGAAUACCCAUUUUACAGCCUCGCUACAAUCAAAACUGUCUACCUCCACACUACUGAGAAAGUGGCUUCAGUCAGAGUAUCUGGCGUUUUAGGAGGACGCAUCAUGAUGGAGUGUAAACACCCUGAAGAAAACCAUAAAUCCAAGUUUUUCUGUAAAGAAUCACGAAAGGAAUGCUCUGAAAAAACGUACAGCAGGAAGCAGUACCAAUGGGAGAAAACUGGUGGAUUUACAGUGUUUGAUGACACCAGUAAAGGAAGCUUAAUGGUGUUCCUUAUAAAUGUGACAGAAGGAAUCUACAGGUGUGGAGUUGAUGUAUCAGAGUUUUAUGAGAAGUACACAGAAGUGACAGUGGAAGUGACGGAAGGUAAGGAAUUGGGUGCCCCCCAAUUGUUUACCAAUUACGGUAGAACUUUACUGCUUUACGUUAAUAAGAG
rnacentral:lncRNA from 1 species